rnacentral:rRNA from 1 species
AUACGUAGGGGGCGAGCGUUGUCCGGAAUGAUUGGGCGUAAAGGGCGCGUAGGCGGCUUUGCAAGUCAGUAGUGGAAGUCCAUUUUUCAAGGAUGGAAGUGCUACAGAAACUGCGGAGCUUGAGUGCAGGAGAGGUUAUCGGAAUUCCCGGUGUAGCGGUGAAAUGCGUAGAGAUCGGGAGGAAACCAGUGGCGAAGGCGGGUAACUGGACUGCAACUGACGCUGAGGCGCGAAAGUGUGGGGAGCAAACAGGAUUAGAUACCCUGGUAGUCCACACUGUAAACGAUGAAUGCUAGGUGUAGGAGGUAUCGACCCCUUCUGUGCCGCAGUAAACACAGUAAGCAUUCCGCCUGGGGAGUACGGUCGCAAGGUUGAAACUCAAAUGAAUUGACGGGG